GACGAACGCUGGCGGCGUGCUUAACACAUGCAAGUCGAACGGAAAGGCCCUGCUUUUGUGGGGUGCUCGAGUGGCGAAAGGGUGAGUAACACGUGAGUCACCUGCCCUUGACUUUGGGAUAACUUCAGGAAACUGGGGCUAAUACCGGAUAGGAGCUCCUGCUGCAUGGUGGGGGUUGGAAAGUUUCGGCGGUUGGGGAUGGACUCGCGGCUUAUCAGCUUGUUGGUGGGGUAGUGGCUUACCAAGGCUUUGACGGGUAGCCGGCCUGAGAGGGUGACCGGCCACACUGGGACUGAGAUACGGCCCAGACUCCUACGGGAGGCAGCAGUGGGGAAUAUUGCACAAUGGGCGGAAGCCUGAUGCAGCAACGCCGCGUGCGGGAUGACGGCCUUCGGGUUGUAAACCGCUUUCGACUGUGACGAAGCGUGAGUGACGGUAAUGGGUAAAGAAGCACCGGCUAACUACGUG
rnacentral:rRNA from 1 species